rnacentral:rRNA from 1 species
CCUACGGGUGGCAGCAGUGGGGGAUAUUGCACAAUGGGGGAAACCCUGAUGCAGCGACGCCGCGUGUGGGAAGACGGUCCUCUGGUUUGUAAACCACUGUCCCCAGGGACGAAGUUUACGGUAGCUGGUGAUGAAGCUCCGGCUAACUACGUUCGAGUAGCCGCGGUAAUACGUUGGGCGCGAGCGUUGUCCGGAAUUACUGGGUGUACAUUGUGCGUAGGCGGGUCUGCAAUAUGGUUGUCAAAUCUAGUGGCUAAACCGUUAGUCGCGCUCUAGACUGGAAGUCGUGAGUUAAGUAGAGGCAGGCGGAAUUCCUAGGGUAGCGGUGAAAUGCGUAGAUAUUAGGAAGAACACCAGAGGCGAAGGCAGCCUGCGGGGCUUUUACUGACGCUGAGGCUCGAAAGUGUGGGGAGCAAACAGGAUUAGAUACCCGUGUAGUC